AUGAUGGACUAUAGGACAGGACUGCUGCUUUUAACUCUCUGCUGGGCAGGUGUUGAUGGUCAGACUCUGACAGAAUCUGAACCAGUGGUUAAAAGGCCUGGAGAAUCCCACACACUGACCUGUACAGCCUCUGGAUUCACAUUGAGUAGCUACCCUAUGGACUGGGUCAGACAGGCUCCUGGUAAAGGACUGGAGUGGAUCGCUUUUGUGCACACAGGCAGUUCUUCUAAAUAUUACUCCCAGUCAGUCCAGGGCAGAUUCACCAUCUCCAGAGAUGACUCCAGCAGUAAAGUCUAUCUACAGAUGAACAGUCUGAAGACCGAGGACACAGCAGUGUAUUACUGUGCCCGACACACACAAUAA